UUGAACGCUGGCGGAAUGCUUUACACAUGCAAGUCGAGCGGCAGCGCGGGGGCAACCCUGGCGGCGAGCGGCGAACGGGUGAGUAAUGUAUCGGAACGUACCCUGUCGUGGGGGAUAACACAGCGAAAGCUGUGCUAAUACCGCAUACGACCUGAGGGUGAAAGCGGGGGAUCGCAAGACCUCGCGCGAUAGGAGCGGCCGAUAUCGGAUUAGCUUGUUGGUGAGGUAAAGGCUCACCAAGGCGACGAUCCGUAGCUGGUCUGAGAGGACGACCAGCCACACUGGAACUGAGACACGGUCCAGACUCCUACGGGAGGCAGCAGUGGGGAAUUUUGGACAAUGGGGGCAACCCUGAUCCAGCCAUUCCGCGUGAGUGAAGAAGGCCUUCGGGUUGUAAAGCUCUUUCGGACGGAAAGAAAACGCAUCGGUGAAUACCCGGUGUGGAUGACGGUACCGUAAGAAGAAGCACCGGCUAACUACGU
rnacentral:rRNA from 1 species